GGGCUGGCCCAGAUGGCUCUUGGAAGUUGUCCUGAGAGGCUGUGCUUGGAAGGCUGCACUGUGUCGUCUACUGAGAGCCCUGGUGCUGGUCCCCCAGCCAGUGACUCCGGUGCCAAGCACAGCCUGUGGGCCCUUUGGCUGCUGCAGUAUCUGCUCCUCAGAUACUUGGACGAACUCAGUGCUCCACAGAGACCCAAAAGAGAGCUGCUUCCUGGAGCCCGACCAUCUUUCCAUUCAAUCUUCUCUGACUCUGGAGGCCUGAUACCCACGGCUCUGCCUAUUUCUGAGAUGAGUGAACCUGCUCUUCAAAAAGGAAAUGAAGAACCUUUUGUAUUCAUAAAGAAAAAGAGCUACUUUGGGUUCUGAAGAUGGAAAACAUGAAACACCACCAGGUUCCAGAUGCCAGCAUGAUGCCAACCAGACUUCUCUGGACAGACGACCCCACCAAUGUGUCCUGGAGCUCCGCUUCCCCAGAGCCCCACCCCACUAGAGAAAGAGAGAGGCAGGCUGGGGGUGUGGAUCCACCUGUCAACACCCAUGUUCAGCAGGGAAGCAAUGACAGAAGCCAGACCUUCCACCUUCUGUACCCCACAAUGACCUGGGGUUCAUAUUCCCAGAGGGUUAAAGAAUAGGAAAGCUGUCAGGGGAGGAGAUGGGAUACGGAGAUCUGGUGGUGGGAACUGUGUGGAGAUGUACCCCUCUUAUCCUAUGGUUUUGUUAAUGUCUCCUUUUUUCAAUAAAUAAAAAAAUAUAUAUAAAAAAA